UCUACUUCUAGACUUACGUGACCGGAGAAGGUCCUGUCGAGAACCUUGCGAAGCACCUCAAUGAUCAUUUUGGCAACAAAUUGCUCACUGUCAUUGCUGGAACAGCUGAAAGAACACCCACCCUCUGAUUUUAUUGUCUUUGUUCCCAAGUUUCUCCAGUAACUGUGUUUUGCUUUUUAUACUUUUCUUGAACAUCA